AAUGCAUUCUGGAAGGCUGGGUUUCCUAAAAUGGCUUUGUUAAGGUCAAAGCCACUGAAUCGAUGUCAAUCAACUAAUAUCAGUCAAUGUCAAUCAACCAAUGUGAAUCACUGAGUCAUUAUUUUAGCCUCAGAAGGGACCCUUGAGUGAUCACCUCAUACAAUGCCUCAUUGUCUGGCUGAAGAAACUAAGAUGCCGAUAGGGAUUGAUCAUCAUUUCCCAAUUCUUUGUGCCUUUCCUCCAUGUCCUUUGCCCUGUGACAUGGCUGUUCUUCCCACUGGAGCAGGUGGAGUACACUUCCCCCAUGCCAUUGAUGUGGGGCUUGGCCAGUAAAAUGUGUGUGGACGUGAUGGUAAGUCAGGGCCAGGCGAAGAUCCUGGAGGCAUUUCGUGUUUCCACGUACUCUCUUGCAUUCUAAUGAUGCACUGUGAGAAGAGCAUACCCCAGGUAGCUAGCCUCUGGUACAAAGAAAAUGAGCAGACACGUGGAGUAGACAUGGACCCCACCUGCUGCCUGAAUCAAACAUGACCACCCUGAAGCCUGAAGCAGAGCUGCAUAGCAGGUCCCAGCUAAGAUUAAUGAAUCCACAGUCAACAUGAAGACGUGUGAGCAGGAGAAUCGAUGCCUGCAAUUCUAAACUACUAAGUUUAGGAGUGAGAUUUAACAGUGCCAUGGGGUCCCGAUUGCACUCACCAUCCACACCAUCAUGUAGGAGAAGGCUGCGAUCCACAGCGUGGAGGAAGCAAACGUCACCAUGAACCAUUUCUCCCAGCGCGGCUUGUUGCAGUUGGGUACAGUGAAGUAUAAGACGAAACUCAGCGGCCAGG
ensembl:lncRNA novel transcript, antisense to SLC24A3